rnacentral:rRNA from 1 species
UGGGGAAUAUUGCACAAUGGGGGAAACCCUGAUGCAGCGACGCCGCGUGAGCGAUGAAGGCUUUCGAGUCGUAAAGCUCUGUCCUAUGGGAAGAUAAUGACGGUACCAUAGAAGAAAGCCCCGGCUAAUUACGUGCCAGCAGCCGCGGUAAUACGUAAGGGGCGAGCGUUGUCCGGAAUUAUUGGGCGUAAAGCGCGCGCAGGCGGACUAGCCAGUCAGUCUUAAAAGUUCGGGGCUUAACCCCGUGAUGGGAUUGAAACUACUAGUCUAGAGUAUCGGAGAGGAAAGUGGAAUUCCUAGUGUAGCGGUGAAAUGCGUAGAUAUUAGGAAGAACACCAGUGGCGAAGGCGACUUUCUGGACGAACACUGACGCUGAGGCGCGAAAGCCAGGGGAGCGAACGGG